rnacentral:rRNA from 1 species
AAUCAACGCUGGCGGCGUGCCUAACACAUGCAAGUCGAACGCGAAAGUCCCUUCGGGGAUGAGUAGAGUGGCGUCCGGGUGAGUAACGCGUGGUAAUCUACCUUCGGGUGGGGAAUAACCCAGGGAAACUUGGGCUAAUACCGCACAAUGCAGCGGCUCGACAUCGAGACAGUUGUUAAAGCAGCAAUGCGCCUGAAGAGGAGCCUGCGUCUGAUUAGCUUGUUGGUGAGGUAAUGGCUCACCAAGGCUACGAUCAGUAGCUGGUCUGAGAGGACGGGCAGCCACAAUGGCACUGAAACACGGGCCAUACUCCUACGGGAGGCAGCAGUGGGGGAUUUUGCGCAAUGGGCGAAAGCCUGACGCAGCAACGCCGCGUGAAGGAUGAAAUCCCUCGGGAUGUAAACUUCGCAAAUAUGGGAAGAAAAAAAUGACGGUACCAUAUGUAAGCCCCGGCUAACUCCGUGCCAGCCGCCGCCGUAACAC